rnacentral:rRNA from 1 species
UACGUAGGGGGUAAGCGUUGUCCGGAUUUACUGGGUGUAAAGGGCGCGUAGGCGGGCCCGUAAGUCAGAGGUGAAAUCCUACAGCUUAACUGUAGAGCUGCCUUUGAUACUGCGGGUCUUGAGUUCAGAAGAGAGAGAUGGAAUUCCAGGUGUAGUGGUGAAAUACGUAGAUAUCUGGAAGAACACCAGUGGCGAAGGCGAUCUCUUGGUCUGUAACUGACGCUGAGGCGCGAAAGCGUGGGUAGCAAAC